rnacentral:rRNA from 1 species
UACGUAGGGUGCAAGCGUUAAUCGGAAUUACUGGGCGUAAAGCGUGCGCAGGCGGUGAUGUAAGACAGUUGUGAAAUCCCCGGGCUCAACCUGGGAACUGCAUCUGUGACUGCAUCGCUGGAGUGCGGCAGAGGGGGAUGGAAUUCCGGCGUGUAGCAGUGAAAUGCGUAGAUAUGCGGAGGAACACCGAUGGCGAAGGCAAUCCCCUGGGCCUGCACUGGACGCUCAUGCACAA